AGAAUAUGUAGCCCGACAAGAAAAAGCUGCUAACUUUUAUCUUAAGCGGUUUGAUUCCGUUUAUAUUCUU
rnacentral:tRNA from 1 species